UACGUAGGGUGCGAGCGUUAAUCGGAAUUACUGGGCGUAAAGCGUGCGCAGGCGGUUCGCUAAGACCGAUGUGAAAUCCCCGGGCUCAACCCCGGAACUGCAUUGGAUACUGCUCUGCUUGAGUACUGGAGAGGAGACUGGAAUUUACGGUGUAGCAGUGAAAUGCGUAGAUAUCGUAAGGAAGACCAGUGGCGAAGGCGAGUCUCUGGACAGUUACUGACGCUGAGGCACGAAGGCUAGGGGAGCAAACGGG
rnacentral:rRNA from 1 species